UGGAGCAUGUGGUUAAUUCGACGCAACGCGAAAACCUUACCUGGGCUUGACAUGGAGAGAAUCUCCUGGAAACAGGAGAGUGCCUCGUAAGAGGAGCUCUCACACAGGUGCUGCAUGGCUGUCGUCAGCUCGUGCCGUGAGGUGUUGGGUUAAGUCCCGCAACGAGCGCAACCCUCAUCUCUAGUUGCCAUCAUUAAGUUGGGCACUCUAGAGAAACUGCCGCAGUUAAUGCGGAGGAAGGUGGGGAUGACGUCAAGUCCUCAUGGCCCUUAUGUCCAGGGCUACACACGUGCUACAAUGGGCGGUACAAAGGGUCGCGAACCCGCAAGGGGGAGCUAAUCCACUGAAAGCCGUCCUCAGUUCGGAUUGAGGUCUGCAACUCGACCUCAUGAAGCUGGAAUCGCUAGUAAUCGCGGAUCAGCAUGCCCGCGGUCGAAUACGUUCCCGGGCCUU
rnacentral:rRNA from 1 species